rnacentral:lncRNA from 10 species
UGUGAGGAGGCUGGGUGCUGAAUUAUGGUGAGAGGCCGAGAAGCUGGUAUCUCCUGGGGCCAUGCGUUCAUUCAUCUAGCAACAUGUACUGAGAAGCUUCUGCAGGGCAGGCCCUCUCUAGGACCCAGUGCCGCCCUCCUCUUGGCCCUGAGAGAAGUUCCAGUCUGGCUAGGACAUAUGUGACAUACGUCGGGUCAUUAAGUCAUUCAACAAACGUUUACUGAGGUCUUUUCUGGGUUAGGCCCUGUGCUUAGUGCUGGGAUUGGAGAUUAAUAAGGCAGCCUGUGUCCUCAGGGAGCUUCCAGUUUUACUAAGUGCCCACAUACCUAUCUAGUGAUUAAUUCACUUGGUAAACAUUUAC